rnacentral:piRNA from 1 species
CACUUUCCAAAGUGGAGGAUGAGGCCUA